UACGGGGGGGGGCAAGCGUUGUUCGGAAUUACUGGGCGUAAAGGGCUCGUAGGCGGCCAACUAAGUCGGACGUGAAAUCCCUCGGCUUAACCGGGGAACUGCAUCCGAUACUGGAUGGCUUGAGUUCGGGAGAGGGAUGCGGAAUUCCAGGUGUAGCGGUGAAAUGCGUAGAUAUCUGGAGGAACACCGGUGGCGAAGGCGGCAUCCUGGACCGACACUGACGCUGAGGAGCGAAAGCCAGGGGAGCAAACGGG
rnacentral:rRNA from 1 species